CACGUAGGGGGCAAGCGUUGUCCGGAUUUAUUGGGCGUAAAGAGCUCGUAGGCGGUUCGGUAAGUCGGGUGUCAAACCUCCAGGCUCAACCUGGAGACGCCACCCGAUACUGCUGUGACUAGAGUCCGGUAGGGGAGCGUGGAAUUCCUGGUGUAGCGGUGAAAUGCGCAGAUAUCAGGAGGAACACCAGCGGCGAAGGCGGCGCUCUGGGCCGGAACUGACGCUGAGGAGCGAAAGCGUGGGGAGCAAACAGG
rnacentral:rRNA from 1 species